rnacentral:rRNA from 1 species
UUUAUGGAGAGUUUGAUCCUGGCUCAGGAUGAACGCUGGCGGCGUGCCUAAUACAUGCAAGUCGAGCGAACGGAUGAGAAGCUUGCUUCUCUGAUGUUAGCGGCGGACGGGUGAGUAACACGUGGAUAACCUACCUAUAAGACUGGGAUAACUUCGGGAAACCGGAGCUAAUACCGGAUAAUAUUUUGAACCGCAUGGUUCAAAAGUGAAAGACGGUCUUGCUGUCACUUAUAGAUGGAUCCGCGCUGCAUUAGCUAGUUGGUAAGGUAACGGCUUACCAAGGCAACGAUGCAUAGCCGACCUGAGAGGG